rnacentral:rRNA from 1 species
UCAAAAACAUUGUUUUCUGUUGGGGAUAGAAAAUAGGGCCUGCUCACUGAGAAAUUUAAAGAGCUGCAAUAAUUUAAUUGUACAAAGGUAGCAUAAUCAUUUGUUUUUUAAUUAAGGACUAGGAUGAAAGGUAUAACGUAAGAAUAUAUGUCUUAAUAAAAUUGAUUGAAAUUUAUUUUUUUGUUAAAAAGCAAAGAUGAGGUUAAGAGACGAGAAGACCCUAUUGAGCUUUAUUUAUUAGAUUUAUGUAUAAAUUAUUAGGUAAGUCAAAGUAAAUUUUACUGGGGCGGUAGAAAGAAUUUAAGUAUCUCUUUUUUAAAAAAUUAUUUAUUUAUAUAGUUUUAUCCAAGUUGUUUGAGAUAUAGAAAGUUACCGUAGGGAUAACAGCGUAAUUUUUUUGUAGAGUUCUUAUCGAUAAAAGAGUUUGCGACCUCGAUGUUGGAUUAGGAGUUCUUAUUGGCGUAUAAGUUAAUUUAGAUAGUCUGUUCGACUAUUAAAUUCCUACAUGAUCU